rnacentral:sRNA from 1 species
UAAAUUAUCAAAACGAGCAUCAGAACCGAGUGGUCGGAAGUUCGAGCCGAGCGUAGCGAGACAACGUUGCUUUAGCAACGGCCCGU